GACAGAGGAUGCAAGCGUUUAUCCGGAAUGAUUGGGGCGUAAAGCGUCUGUAGGUGGCUUUUCAAGUCCGCCGUCAAAUCCCAGGGCUCAACCCUGGACAGGCGGUGGAAACUACCAAGCUGGAGUACGGUAGGGGGCAGAGGGAAUUUCCGGUGGAGCGGUGAAAUGCGUAGAGAUCGGAAAGAACACCAAUGGCGAAAGCACUCUGCUGGGCCGACACUGACACGAGAGACGAAAGCUAGGGGAGCAAAUGGG
rnacentral:rRNA from 1 species